AAUCCACCACAUCAGCACGCAGAUGUUUGAAAUCGUCUUUGAAGAAGCUAACCAAAAGCACACCUUUUCAAGACCAUCUUGGACCAUUAAACAUGAAAGAGAUACCGAUGGAUGCAUUCACAGCUCCCCACCCUGGAUUUUGGGUACACACUGAGCAGAGUUGAAAAUACCUCAGGGACAGUUGUGAUCCGGGAAUUUGGAGAACUCCGGGUUCCACACUGCAAGAUGGCUCAAUGGACGGCCCUGAAAAUAGAGCCCAUGUGAUGAGCUCGAACAAAACGCUGGCACUCUCUGGCCCCCGGAUGGGGCACAACAGACGUGUGCAGUCAGAGACCCAGAUCAGAGGGAGGCAGUCAGUAGCAGGCGUAUCCGACGCAAAGCCAGCGUGGAGCCAGGCAGGCGCCUGCAGCUGCAGAGCCUCCCCUCUGUUCCAGCUCACACACUGAGCAUGCACCGUGCCCAGCCCUCUCUUUAGAACAAAAAUGGCUCAGCCUGCCCUCUGUUCUCUCCAUGCACAGGGAGGCAGCAGAGGGUGCUUCUGGCCUGUGUCAGCCCCAAAGCACAUGCUCUCCAAACAAAUGGGAGUCAGGAGUGUCAUCACAACAGGAUGGGAGGUGGGACUUUUCCCUCCAACAUGUGUUUUUGAGGUUUUCCUCCAAGGAUAAAAGGUCCUGGGAAAGAUGUCCCCAGCCUCUGACACUAUUAUCAGAGUGCUGGGGAUACUGAGCGAAAGUCCCCUUGUCACCCUUCACAUGGCCAACAAUGGACAGCAAACAAACUCACAGCCGGCACUGCAAAGUCCGGUCCCCUCCUGGCUUCUCUGAGGGCAGCAUCCGCAUGGCUGGGCCACGGGCCAGCCAUUCCCAAACCCGCUGUGAGUUGGAAUGAUGGAGACCUCCCAGCCUGGAGGGCAAGAGUCUCGGGUGACAGGGACCGUGCAGGCAGUCCCUCCAAGAGGCCACCAAGCCCCCACUCUCAGGACUCCUCCAGGGUCAGAGGACGUCUGACAGGAGGACACGUCUGCAGAGGGGCAGGCCCAGAGGUGUGGCCUGGGCCCACAGCUCCACCAACCUUUCGGAGCUUUCUAGGAGAAAUGCCGUAACAUCAUCCAAGCAGUGUUAAGAUUUCAUUGCUCCAAACACACUAUGGUGCAAGGAUUUUGUCCAGUUGCCUUGGAGAAGACAAGAGAAAUAGGAGAAGAGUCCAUUGCUACAGGAAUUCACAUCGGCUGGCCAGGAGAAAGGACCCAGGAUUAGGUAAAACAAUGUCAAACCAUGUAAUAAUUCCUAUAAGGUCACUGGGAGGCCAGUUCAGAUUAGAAAAGGCUGCAUAAAGGAGGCUUGAGCUGACCUUAUCGGAACUGAUGUUUAUUCAGCAAAUGUUUAUUUUGUUUAGUCACUAAGAAAUUAUUUAGUUAUUAUUAUGGGCCAGCCAUAGGGUAAAUUCCUCACCAGGCUUUGAAGAAGGUACUGUUGUUAUCUGCAUUUUACAAAUGAGCAAAGCACACUUAGAAACAUUAAGUCACGGAGGGUCAGCUCGGCCACACUAAGGUUGGCAUCCCCUGGAACCUGUCCGAUUCUAAUGCCUGCUUUUCUAAGCACCAUGUUACUCUUGUUACUUGGUGUCCCUUACUGUCACCAGCCUCCAAGGGGCACAGCGAGAGGGGCCAAGAGGAAGAGAGGAUGAGCUACUGACAGAGAUGGAGGAAGAGGGAGCAGAGAUGAACAGAGAGGGGCUGUCCUGUCCUCAUUAAAAAGCAAGUUUCCUGCCUAACAAUGACUUAUUUUUUACCCGUGUGUUCAUCUAGAUAUCCAAAACUUCUCUGAUGAACGUGUAAAUGUGUAUAAUAGCAAUUAAUAUGGCAUUGAUAUUGUAGGUGGGGCAGAUUUGGGGAGCUUUUAAGCAGAGGAAUCAGAGUGUGCAACCUUCUGGAAUUGCAUCGCUUCACGUGUCCGAGGGGGCAGCUGAGGCGUGGGACUAGCAAGAAGCUCAAGGACACAGCGAGGGGAAGGCCAAGCGGUGGGAAACCAGGGAUGUCCCCAUCGCACUGUGUCCAGCUGCAUUUUCCCAACAAGGGAAGCAUCAGGAUGCCAGUGAUGGUUUAGCAAGAUUAGUAGAGUGGCAGACUGGAGGGCCAGAAGGAAUUGGGAGCAGCUGCGCCGAGACAAACUCCAGCAAGGAAGGCAUCACCGGGCUCCAGACUUGGCCUGGAUCAGGAUGCUUAGUAGCCAAGAACAGCAGAGAGAACAUUUUAAACUAUACCAAAGGAAGGCGUGAUGGAACCUGGGAGGCAGGGGUGCCCAGACCAUGGCAGAGUUAAGGGAAUGAGAGGUCUGUGUUCUGGAAGAGACGACAAUGGCGCAGCGUUCAGCUUCCAGACCGCGCUACGACGCAGAGGUCAACCUGUGUUGGACUCGGAGACCCUGAAAGCCAAAGGCAGAAGCACCUGCCCCAACCCCAUCACCGGUCAGCCGCACUGCCACAGUUCUGGGCACUAAAAUGACAGUUCUCUACCUUUUUCCCUUUGGCGAUAUACCUGACAUCUGUUAUGUGCAUACACAACAGGCUCCUCAAAUUUUGAUGAAACCCAUACAAAAUUUUUGUGCAAGUAAAAUGCUGCCCCAUAUUGCAUUUUUGCAGUUAUUAGCACACAGGUUUUU